rnacentral:lncRNA from 1 species
GUGAUGAGGUACAUUUAAGUACCAGUAGACAUGUAUUUGUUGAUGUGAUUGAUUACUCAAAUACCAUCAUAACUGUGCUUUUCUUCCAUCAUGUGUUGUAGGUUAUUGAUGCAUUUUUGAGCUGUAUAGUUGAGAAAGCAGAUGGAAAGGUACAAGCCAUCUCAUCAGUAGUUUCCACUGCCAUUCUCUCAGGCAGAGCUACACAAAUGAAAGUGAAGAUAGCCUUGAUGAAAAAAAAGGAAUUGUUAAUAAUUGACCCCUUGUGUGAUGAGAUCAGAUAUGAAAGAACAUGCCUGAGGAAUUGGAGGUGAUUUAUUAGAUACUUACUUUCACAGUGGACACUAACUGUUCCAUUGAAAUUGUUUUUAAAGGGAAUGUUACAAUAAUGAGAAUAAUGUCUUCCUAUUAGCUACAAAUAAACAUUGAAACAGCAUAUACUUGUACUGAAUG